rnacentral:rRNA from 1 species
UGCUCUUAAUAGAUAAAUUAAUUCAACAUCGAGGUCAUAAUCUUUUUCUUUUAUAAGGACUUUAGGAAAAAAUUAUGCUGUUAUCCCUAUGGUAACUUGUGUAAUUUUAUUUAAAGUUUUUAGAUAAAGUUAUAAAGAUUUUAUUUUCUACCGCCCCAGUUCAACUAAAGUGAAGCUCAAUAGGGUCUUGUCGUCCUCCUAUUUUAUAAAAGUCUUUUUACUUUUAGGAAAAUUUCGAUAUAUUUGAAUAAUAAAGAUAUUUAUAUGUUAAACCAUUCAUUCUAGCCUUUAAUUAAAAGGCAAAUGAUUAUGCUACCUUAGGACAUUUAAAUUGCCGCAAUUUAAUUGUCAUUGAGCAGGUCUUACUAAAUAUAAUUACAUUUAGAAAUGUUUUUGAUAAACAGUCAAUAAAUAAGGGCCUAGUUCAUAAGACAAAGAUAAAUUUAUAGUUGUAGAAGUUUUUAAUUAAAGUAUAAAAAUAAAUUAUUUACUAAUAAAAUCAUUUUUAAAAUUGAAUUUAGUUUUCAUAUUAGUAUUAAAUUAAGGUCUAGGAAUUAGUUGUUACACUUUUAGACACUAUUAAUCUUUUAUAUUUAAGAAAUUGUGGGAGAAUUUAUUUUAAAAGCUUAACCUUCAAAAAAUUUAAGUACUAAUACUUUUUGAAAAAACCAGAUAUAAUAUAAUUCGCGGGGGAUUUCACCUCUACAGAUAUUUACUUUUUAUUAUGCAAUAUAAAAUUGAAAAUUAAUGUAGAUCAUUUUAUUUCGGGAAAUUUCAAUUGUUAAAUAUUUUUGAUUUACCCUGAUACAAAAGGUACAUAGAUUUUCUUUAAAAAAAAUUUUUUGAGAAGUUCCCUGACGGUUAGAAAAGUUAAAGAAAUUUAGGUUUAUAGUGAAUUAUUUAUUUAAUUAAUUUUGUAAUAUAAAUUUA